CAUAUACUCCCUCCGUCCCAAANNNNUUGUCUUAGAUUUGUCUAAAUAUGAAUGUAUCUAGUCAUGUUUUGGUAUUUAGAUACAUCCAUUUCUAGACAAACAUAAGACAAGAAAUUUGGGACGGAGGGAGUAUACA
rnacentral:pre_miRNA from 1 species